GCCAGGUGUUGUGGUGGACGCCUGUAGUCCCAGCUACUUGGGAGGCAGAGGCAGGAGACUCACUUGAGCCCAGGAGUUGGAGGUUGCUGUGAGCUGAGAUGGCACAGCACUCUACCCAGGGUGACAUAGUGAGAGUCUGUCUCAA
rnacentral:SRP_RNA from 1 species